rnacentral:lncRNA from 1 species
GAAGAUGUUCUAAUCAUAGCACUAAAUUGGGAAGUCAGCUGAAAUAUUUUCUGUUUUUGCUAUUACAAAUUGAACCCAAGAUCUUUAUAAAGUCUGGUGCUGGCAGAAAGUAGUCCUGGAAGGGAUAGUACUGAAUAUUUUAUUGUAUUUGAGCCCCGGCUACCACUUUUAUCAAGAACCUUAGAACCAUAUAUCCUACCGUUC